rnacentral:lncRNA from 1 species
GGCCUUAAACAUAUAUCUAACCGUACCUCUAUUCUAAUAUGGGCAUAUUACUAGUUAUGAUAUAAGCGGCUUCACAUGUGUUCACAAUGAUAUAUGAGUGCGUGAGAGUCAAAUUUAUAAAAAAUUAUGGAAUUAAAAUAUCUUUUAAUGUAAAAAUUAUGGAAUAAUGUGAAAAAUCACAAUUUAACAUAAAAUACCUUUAUAAAAAAUUGUGGAA